CAGAGCGCCUUUAUUUUGCAAUUCUCUGCCAAAAACCAAAGAGUGGAGCUACAAAUACCCAUUAUUUCUGCAUAGAUGAUGAACUUGUAUAUGAGAACUUCUAUGCAGACUUUGGACCACUCAAUCUGGCAAUGGUCUACAGAUAUUGCUGCAAGCUAAAUAAGAAAUUAAAGUCAUUUUCUUUGAUAAAGAAGAAAAUAAUUCAUUAUACCGGCUGUGAUCAGAAAAAGCAAGCAAAUGCUGCAUUUCUCAUAGGCUCCUACGCAAUAAUAUACCUGAGGGAAUCCCCAGAAGAUAUAUACAGGCUUAUAUUGGCUGGAAGUGUUUCAUAUCUUCCUUUCAGG